CUGAUUCAUGCCAUUCAGAGGCGAAUGUACGAUGUUUGAAGAGAAACGCAACCAUCCAGUAAUACUACGUACGUUGACGCACUGGAACCAACUAGCAUUCGUCAUGAGUUACUUGAUUGGCGUAGCCUAUUCAUAUUGAUGAGUUUGUUCACUAAUUUCUGACAUUAUGUAUAGUUGACUAGGAGAUGUAGAGGAAGCUGGAGACUCCAUAAUAGAAAACAUGAAAAUGAGGAGGCAAGAGAAUACUAUUGAUGGCUUUCUACUCUGAUGUUUUAGGAGCCAGCAGAUGGAAAUAAAUAUGCUUUCAACACCGAAAAUGCAGAAAUGGAGACUUUCCUUUUACCCGGCCUGCCUUUCGGCUUCACUACCAGACAUUGUGAUUACUUUCUACCCAGCUUCUCCAAAUGGGCUCAAGUACAGGGGAGCAAAUGCACAUCAUUACGUGCAGAUCAUUUACAGUAAGGGAACAGUCCAGGCGUGGAUGUAUCACUGUCAAUGCAAUACAGCUCUUUGAACAAGAAAAAAAGGUGAGCCAUGCCUUUUUUUAUUUGAGAGAGAGCACACGUUUACAGAUUCUAGUACAUCUUGUUACAUGCAAGUUUAUUUUUUUUACCAAUUACAAUGUUGGGACUAUGAUAUAUAUUGUUGACUCACCAUAAACCUUACAUAAUUCAAAAUGAAUAAAUAUAGAACAAAACAUCAAAGGCAAAAAUGAUGAGCAGGACCAGAUAUUUUAUCUCUGUAUUUGUGUGAAGUCAGGCA